GCGCGUCUANCAUGCAGUCGAACGAUGAACCACUUCGGUGGGGAUUAGUGGCGAACGGGUGAGUAACACGUUGGGCAAUCUGCCCUGCACUCUGGGACAAGCCCUGGAAACGGGGUCUAAUACCGGAUACUGACCCGCCUGGGCAUCCAGGCGGUUCGAAAGCUCCGGCGGUGCAGGAUGAGCCCGCGGCCUAUCAGCUUGUUGGUGAGGUAACGGCUCACCAAGGCGACGACGGGUAGCCGGCCUGAGAGGGCGACCGGCCACACUGGGACUGAGACACGGCCCAGACUCCUACGGAAGGCAGCAGA
rnacentral:rRNA from 1 species